AUCCCCUGUGCUAUACAGUAGGUCCUUGUUUCUUAUCUAUUUCAUAUACAGUAGUGUGUAUAUGUUAACCUGACCUCUUAAUUUGUCCCUCCCUUCCUUUUCCCCUUUGGUUUGUUUUCUAUGCCUGUAAAUCUUGUUAGUAAAUUCAUUUGCAUGUUUUUUUUUUAUGAUUCCACAUAUAAAUGAUACCAUAUUAUAUUUGUUUUUUCUAUCUGGCUUACUUCACUUCAUACAAUCAUCUCUAGGUCCAUCCAUAUUGGUACAAAUGGCAUUAUUUAAUUAUUUUUAUGUCUGAGUAAUAGUCCAUUAUGUGUGUAUGUGUGUGUAUAUAUACACACACACAUCUUCUUUAUCCAUUCAUCUGUGAAUGGAUAUUUAAGUUGGUUCCAUGUCUUGGCUAUUGUAAAUAGUGCUGCAAUGAACACUGGGGUGCAUAUAUCUUUUCAAAUUACAGUUUUUGCCAAAUAUAUGCCCAGGAGUUGUCUUGCUGGAUCCUAUGGUAACAAUAUUUUUAGUCUUUUGAGGAACCUCCAUACAGUUCUCCAUAGUGAGUGCCCCAACCAACAGUGUUGGAAGGUUCCUUUUUCUCCAAACCCUAUCCAGCAUAUAUUUAUAGACUUUUUGAUAAUAGUCAUUCUGACAAGUGUGAGGGGAUACCUCAUUUGUAUAUCUGAUUUGCAUUUCUCAGAUAAUUAGUAAUGUUGAGCAUUUCUUUUUUUCAUGUGUCUCAGCCAUCUGCAUGUCUUCUUUGGAGAAAUGUCUUUUUAUGUCUUCUGCCCUUUUUUGAUCAGAGUAUUUGCUUUUUUGUUAUUGAGCUGUAUGAGCUGUUUGUAUAUUUUGGAAGUUAAUCUCUUGUCAUUUGCAAUGUUUGCAAGUAUUUUCUCCCAUUCCAUAGUGUUUUUUCAUUUAUUUAUGGUUUCCUUUUUAAUUUCAAAUUCUUCAGAUGGCUCAAGUUUUCAAGAUCAAAGUGAACAGUGGAAUUUGGAAAGUAUUUUCAUUCCAGCUGGCCAUGUAUUUUGUGCUGUUGUAAUGGAAGGGGAACUCCAUUAUUUAAUUCUCCUCCCAUGCAAAAAUAUAUACCAAAAAGCCAAUAGCAUAUAACAGUAUAAAUAAAAAAUGCUAAAAGCCAAACCACUUAAAUCAUAAGGACCAUAGGAAUACUAGCGUAAUUACUAAACAACAUUUUGAGAUUCUAACACAUAUGUAAAUAAAAUGAGAGCAUCAUUAUAAAAGUUUAACAAAAACUAUUACACUAUAAAAAUUAAACAAUUACCUCUAUUAGUAGAAAUUAUGAUUCUAUAAUUAAUACAAUCCUUUAGAAGAUAGCAAAAGUUAGUAGUAUUAAAAUGAAAAACUGAUGUCAGACGGAAAUCAGAUAAAUAUACAAAAAAAACAGUGGUUUCAUCUUUCUUUGUCUCUACGUAAAAUAACCAACUGGAAAUGUAAACAUUACUUCAUUCACAAGAACACAAAAAGCUAUGAAUAUUUUUGUGUGAAAUAAACAAAAUAAAUCUGAAAGAAACUAAAUGGUAAAAUCUAUGUGAUUUUAUUACAGAAAAUGAGAACUUAAACUAGUAAAGCAAUGUAAUAUAUUCCUACCAAGGAAGACUCAGUAUCAUCAAAGUAUCAUUCGUCUCUAAAUUAAUAGACAUAACUAAUGCAAUUGGAAUCAAAACCGAGCAAGCGUAUGUAUUUAACAAUAUGUCAUUUUAAAGUGCAUAUGUCAAAAGAAGUCUAAAAAACAAGAAAAUGAUUAAAAUGAAGUUACAAGAGUCUGGUCUUAUACAAAAUUAAAGCUUAAUUUAUGGCCAAAGUAAUCAACGGUUUGGCUCAGAAACUACCAAAUGGAUCAAAUAUUUGCUCAUUACCAGAGGAACAAAGUAAUCUAUCUAUAAUUUGCCUAUGGGAUUUCAAUAAAAACAUGUGUUGUAUUUAAAUUUGUAAAAAGAUCAUUUGAUAAAUGGUGUUGGAACAUUUAGCUUUCCAACUGAUAGAAUAGAAAGUCAGAUUCCUAACAUUUUUAAAUAAAAAAAUUAAAUUAUAACUCCUUUAGUAAACUAAAAACUGCUUGAGACUAUGAAGUUAAUGAUAGACAUACUGCCAACUCUUCCCAAAAGUGUGCAUGACAUAUGCUGCAAUAAAUAAUAGAAAGACUGAGACUGACAAAAUAUUUACAAUAUCUUUGGAAUCUAAAAAUAAAUAAGAAACACAAUGAAAAAAGAGCAAAUUAUAUUAAAAGACAUUAUCAGAAGAGUAAAUAUACCUAUGAGAAGAUGCUCAUUUUCGCUUUUAGGGAAAUGCAAAUUAAAUGUUUAAUUACAUUUGUAAAGCCACUAGAUUGUCAACUGCAUUACUGCUGAGUGUUACAAAGGAUGUGAAAAUACGUCUGUUGUGAACAAAAAUUAUUCUUUGGAAAAGUCAAGAAAGUAUAUCUAUAUGUUUUAUGUUAGCAUAAUAGGAAAAAAAGAUGCUGCUAAUUUCUAAAUCAGACUAUCAUGUCAUUUAUUUGAUUUUCUGGCUUCAGUCAGGCCAAGGCAUCCCUAAUCUGUAAUCCUUAGUUAAGAAGAUGACUAACAUAAGUGUCUCCAUCUAAGGAAUCUUAAUGAGAAUGAAUAAAAAUUAAGUAAACCACUGUUGCAAGAUAUGAUAUAUGGUAUUGAUUUAGACAGUUUGUAGAACUGUAGUCUGGACAUUCAUUGUAUAAAACUUAGUUGAGGACUGGUUAUAUUUUUUAAUUCAGAAUCAGAACUCUAGAAAUUGUGUUUAGUUAUAAUGGUAUAUGGUUGAAAAGGUAAUAGGUUUAGCUCUAGCCGUGAUGAAAACCUAUUUUUUUGCAACAUAAACAUUCUAUAAAAACAAAUACUAAUUUUAUGUAUAUUUUGAAAUAUACAAUAGAGUGUCCAGAUAAAAUUGUGUGCACAUUUUCUAAAGGUGAUGAACAGGUGAUUUUAUCUUCUCUGGAACAAAAAGCACAAUGUGAAUGAGCUGUGCAACUAAGAGCCAUAUCUAAAUUCCUUUUCCAUCUCCAGGGAGACAGAGGAGCAUUGAAUUAACUGACUUGAGUAAUAUAAAACAUAGAAAUUGCAAUACAUUAUAAAAGAAUAAGGAAAGUAAGGAUCAAGGAACUUGCCAUGUACUGGAAAAGUGAAAACACAAAUAAGAAAAAAAAAAAUUUAAGAUAGGGCUACAUGAUGAUACAACAGGUAAAGAAAUCCUUGGGGUUUAAAGUGGAUGGAUACUCGAUGAGUGGAAGACAGUUUCAGAAAUUCCCACCUUCUACUAUUUACACUUAUGCAAUACUCUCCCCUUGAGUGUAAGGUGGAUAUAGUAAUUUGCUUCCAGUUAAUAGAAUACAGACAAGCCCAUUUGAUGAUUAAGUUAAAAAUCACGUCUUCUCUCUCUUGCGUUGGUUCUCUGUCUCUGUCUCUCUCUCUAAGCUUGUUCACUUUGAUGAAGAGGGCUGCCAUUCUGCAGCAGUCCACAUGGCAAAGAAUUUAUGGCAGUGUACAGCCAACUAGCCAGGCACUGAGGUCUCUCAAUCCACCAAUCCAUAAGAGAUGGAAUCCUGCCAACAAUCAAUACUGAGCUAACUUGGGAGAGGAAUUUUCCCCAACUGAAUCUUGAGAUGAGUGUGGCCCUGGGCUGGAAUGUUGAUUGCAGGCAUUUAAGAAACCCUGAAGCUGAGGAAUCAGGUAAGUCAUGCUCAGAUUCCUGAUCCAGAGAAAACAUGAAACUAUAAAUGUCUCCUAUUUAAGCCAAUAAGAUUUGGAAUAAUUUAUUAUGCAGCAAUAGGUAGGUAAUACAAUAUGCACUAUUAGUUAAAUAUGAGGAAUUAUGACAUGAUGUGUUUUAAGAAAGCUUCAUGAAGAAAGGGAAUGAGCUGAAUUUUAAAGGGAGAAUAUUAGUUGUUGUUUAAUUCAACUUAGCACAUUUAAAAAAUUGCAAUGACUAAAUAAAAUAAUGCUGGGAAGAUCCAAAAGAAGAAAAGCAUUUAAUUGGAAUGGAAUAAGAUGCAACUGAAAGCAGGAAAAGUCAAUUGCUUAUGAAAAGAUAGGAGAAUCAUUAGAAAGAUUUUUUUUUUAAAUGAGAGGGAGAGAGAGAGGAGGAAGAAGGGAAAGGGGAAUAAAGGAGAGAAGAGAGACAAAAAGAUGGCACAGAGAGAGAAAAUUAGAUGUGAAUCUUAAUUUCUAUGUGAAUAGCUUAUAAAACAUUUUGUAAUUUAGCCAUAAAUAUAGGUAUUUGAGUUACUGUAAAUAGUAAGAAAUUUCUCUAAACAUUAUUAAAUAGGAUAUUCGAAGUAUGUGUGUAUUUCACAAAUACUAUAAUAAUUAUAAAAAUGUUAGGGAUAUUUUACUCUAGAAAUUUCGAAAGCUUCAGGAGGAAUCAGCAGUAUUUGUGAGUGUGUUGUCUGUAAUCCUUUCCACUAUCAAGUGUGAAAGACAUGCACAUAAACUCACUCUGUGUUGAGUGUAAGGCACCAUGCUCUGUUUUCAGGCACCUAGUGAAUGUCUCCAUGGUGACUAUCUAUACACUUCAGCAGUGGGACACCAGAAAAUACAGACUCUGUGGAUACAAAGGUGUGUAAUUUAUUGACUGAAGUUAUAAACAUCUAUAUUAAUUUGUCUAUAGUUUUCUGCCCAAGUCUUUUCCUGCUGCUACAUAGUUAAAAUGUAAUCACUAGGUAGUUGGUCCGUAACUCUACAUGGUUAUGCUGGAAAGAUC
rnacentral:lncRNA from 1 species